UUGUGUGGCCGAACCUCCUCAUCAAAGCCAGAUCUCGUCAGAUCUCAGAAGCUAAAAGCAGGGUUGGGCCUGGUUUGUACUUGGAUGGGAGAUCACAGAGAAUAUCAGGUGCCACAGUGA
rnacentral:rRNA from 1 species